CCUACGGGUGGCAGCAGUGGGGGAUAUUGCACAAUGGGGGAAACCCUGAUGCAGCGACGCCGCGUGGGUGAAGACGCGCCUCGGCGUGUAAAGCUCUGUCAGUAGGGAAGAAAAUGACGGUACUUGAAGAAGAAGACGCGGCUAACUACGUGCAAGCAGCCGCGGUACUACGUAGGGGGCAAGCGUUAUCCGGAUUUACUGGGUGUAAAGGGGGUGCAGACGGGGAUGCAGGCCAGGAGUGAAAGCCCGGGGCCCAACCCCGGGACUGCUAUUGGAACUGCGUGGCUAGAGUGCAGGAGGGGCAGGCGGAAUUCCUGGUGUAGCGGUGAAAUGCGUAGAUAUCAGGAAGAACACCGGUGGCGAAGGCGGCCUGCUGGACUGCAACUGACGUUGAGGCCCGAAAGCGUGGGGAGCAAACAGGAUUAGAUACCCCGGUAGUC
rnacentral:rRNA from 1 species